GAAUCUUCGGCAAUGGGCGAAAGCCUGACCGAGCAACGCCGCGUGAAUGAUGAAGGCCUUCGGGUUGUAAAAUUCUGUUAUAAGGGAAGAAUGACUCUAGUAGGAAAUGGCUAGAGUGUGACGGUACCUUAUGAGAAAGCCACGGCUAACUACGUGCCAGCAGCCGCGGUAAUACGUAGGUGGCGAGCGUUAUCCGGAAUUAUUGGGCGUAAAGAGCGCGCAGGUGGUUGAUUAAGUCUGAUGUGAAAGCCCACGGCUUAACCGUGGAGGGUCAUUGGAAACUGGUCAACUUGAGUGCAGAAGAGGGAAGUGGAAUUCCAUGUGUAGCGGUGAAAUGCGUAGAGAUAUGGAGGAACACCAGUGGCGAAGGCGGCUUCCUGGUCUGUAACUGACACUGAGGCGCGAAAGCGUGGGGAGCAAACA
rnacentral:rRNA from 1 species